rnacentral:rRNA from 1 species
GAACCUGCGGAGGGAUCAUUACCGAGUUAUUCAACUCAUCAACCCUGUGAACAUACCUAAACGUUGCUUCGGCGGGAAUAGACGGCCCCGUGAAACGGGCCGCCCCCGCCAGAGGACCCUUAACUCUGUUUCUAUAAUGUUUCUUCUGAGUAAAACAAGCAAAUAAAUUAAAACUUUCAACAACGGAUCUCUUGGCUCUGGCAUCGAUGAAGAACGCAGCGAAAUGCGAUAAGUAAUGUGAAUUGCAGAAUUCAGUGAAUCAUCGAAUCUUUGAACGCACAUUGCGCCCGCCAGUAUUCUGGCGGGCAUGCCUGUUCGAGCGUCAUUACAACCCUCAGGCCCCCGGGCCUGGCGUUGGGGAUCGGCGGAGCCUCUCUGUGGGCACACGCCGUCCCCCAAAUACAGUGGCGGUCCCGCCGCAGCUUCCAUCGCGUAGUAGCUAACACCUCGCGACUGGAGAGCGGCGCGGCCACGCCGUAAAACACCCAACUCUUCUGAAGUUGACCUCGAAUCAGGUAGGAAUACCCGCUGAACUUAAGCAUAUCAAUAAGCGGAGGAA